rnacentral:rRNA from 1 species
UUAAGCGACUAAGCGUACACGGUGGAUGCCCUGGCAGUCAGAGGCGAUGAAGGACGUGCUAAUCUGCGAAAAGCGUCGGUAAGGUGAUAUGAACCGUUAUAACCGGCGAUGUCCGAAUGGGGAAACCCAGUGUGAUUCGUCACACUAUCGUUAACUGAAUACAUAGGUUAACGAGGCGAACCGGGGGAACUGAAACAUCUAAGUACCCCGAGGAAAAGAAAUCAACCGAGAUUCCCCCAGUAGCGGCGAGCGAACGGGGAGCAGCCCAGAGUCUGAAUCAGCUUGUGUGUUAGUGGAACGGUCUGGAAAGUCCGACGGUACAGGGUGAUAGUCCCGUACACCAAAAUGCACAGGCUGUGAACUCGAAGAGUAGGGCGGGACACGUGGUAUCCUGUCUGAAUAUGGGGGGACCAUCCUCCAAGGCUAAAUACUCCUGACUGACCGAUAGUGAACCAGUACCGUGAGGGAAAGGCGAAAAGAACCCCGGCGAGGGGAGUGAAAAAGAACCUGAAACCGUGUACGUACAAGCAGUGGGAGCACCUUCGGGUGUGACUGCGUACCUUUUGUAUAAUGGGUCAGCGACUUAUAUUCUGUAGCAAGGUUAACCGUAUAGGGGAGCCGCAGGGGAAACCGAGUCUUAACUGGGCGUUAAGUUGCAGGGUAUAGACCCGAAACCCGGUGAUCUAGCCAUGGGCAGGUUGAAGGUUGGGUAACACUAACUGGAGGACCGAACCGACUAAUGUUGAAAAAUUAGCGGAUGACUUGUGGCUGGGGGUGAAAGGCCAAUCAAACCGGGAGAUAGCUGGUUCUCCCCGAAAGCUAUUUAGGUAGCGCCUCGUGAACUCAUCUUCGGGGGUAGAGCACUGUUUCGGCUAGGGGGUCAUCCCGACUUACCAACCCGAUGCAAACUACGAAUACCGAAGAAUGUUAUCACGGGAGACACACGGCGGGUGCUAACGUCCGUCGUGAAGAGGGAAACAACCCAGACCGCCAGCUAAGGUCCCAAAGUCAUGGUUAAGUGGGAAACGAUGUGGGAAGGCACAGACAGCCAGGAUGUUGGCUUAGAAGCAGCCAUCAUUUAAAGAAAGCGUAAUAGCUCACUGGUCGAGUCGGCCUGCGCGGAAGAUGUAACGGGGCUAAACCAUGCACCGAAGCUGCGGCAGCGACACUAUGUGUUGUUGGGUAGGGGAGCGUUCUGUAAGCCUGCGAAGGUGACCUGUGAGGGUUGCUGGAGGUAUCAGAAGUGCGAAUGCUGACAUAAGUAACGAUAAAGCGGGUGAAAAGCCCGCUCGCCGGAAGACCAAGGGUUCCUGUCCAACGUUAAUCGGGGCAGGGUGAGUCGACCCCUAAGGCGAGGCCGAAAGGCGUAGUCGAUGGGAAACAGGUUAAUAUUCCUGUACUUGGUGUUACUGCGAAGGGGGGACGGAGAAGGCUAUGUUAGCCGGGCGACGGUUGUCCCGGUUUAAGCAUGUAGGCUGAUUAUCCAGGCAAAUCCGGAUAAUCAAGGCUGAGGUGUGAUGACGAGGCACUACGGUGCUGAAGUAACAAAUGCCCUGCUUCCAGGAAAAGCCUCUAAGCAUCAGGUAACAUCAAAUCGUACCCCAAACCGACACAGGUGGUCAGGUAGAGAAUACCAAGGCGCUUGAGAGAACUCGGGUGAAGGAACUAGGCAAAAUGGUGCCGUAACUUCGGGAGAAGGCACGCUGGUGUGUAGGUGAAGCCCCUGCGGGUGGAGCUGAGACCAGUCGAAGAUACCAGCUGGCUGCAACUGUUUAUUAAAAACACAGCACUGUGCAAACACGAAAGUGGACGUAUACGGUGUGACGCCUGCCCGGUGCCGGAAGGUUAAUUGAUGGGGUUAUCCGUAAGGAGCUCUUGAUCGAAGCCCGGUAAACGGCGGCCGUAACUAUAACGGUCCUAAGGUAGCGAAAUUCCUUGUCGGGUAAGUUCCGACCUGCACGAAUGGCGUAAUGAUGGCCCAGGCUGUCUCCACCCGAGACUCAGUGAAAUUGAACUCGCUGUGAAGAUGCAGUGUACCCGCGGCAAGACGGAAAGACCCCGUGAACCUUUACUAUAGCUUGACACUGAACAUUGAGCCUUGAUGUGUAGGAUAGGUGGGAGGCUUUGAAGCGUGGACGCCAGUCUGCGUGGAGCCAACCUUGAAAUACCACCCUUUAAUGUUUGAUGUUCUAACGUUGGCCCCUUACCGGGGUUGCGGACAGUGUCUGGUGGGUAGUUUGACUGGGGCGGUCUCCUCCCAAAGCGUAACGGAGGAGCACGAAGGUUAGCUAAUCCUGGUCGGACAUCAGGAGGUUAGUGCAAUGGCAUAAGCUAGCUUGACUGCGAGCGUGACGGCGCGAGCAGGUGCGAAAGCAGGUCAUAGUGAUCCGGUGGUUCUGAAUGGAAGGGCCAUCGCUCAACGGAUAAAAGGUACUCCGGGGAUAACAGGCUGAUACCGCCCAAGAGUUCAUAUCGACGGCGGUGUUUGGCACCUCGAUGUCGGCUCAUCACAUCCUGGGGCUGAAGUAGGUCCCAAGGGUAUGGCUGUUCGCCAUUUAAAGUGGUACGCGAGCUGGGUUUAGAACGUCGUGAGACAGUUCGGUCCCUAUCUGCCGUGGGCGCUGGAGAAUUGAGGGGGGCUGCUCCUAGUACGAGAGGACCGGAGUGGACGCAUCACUGGUGUUCGGGUUGUCAUGCCAAUGGCACUGCCCGGUAGCUAAAUGCGGAAGAGAUAAGUGCUGAAAGCAUCUAAGCACGAAACUUGCCCCGAGAUGAGUUCUCCCUGAGACUUUAAGUCUCCUGAAGGAACGUUGAAGACGAUGACGUUGAUAGGCCGGGUGUGUAAGCGCAGCGAUGCGUUGAGCUAACCGGUACUAAUGAACCGUGAGGCUUAACCU